ACCUAGGCCUGCUCAUCGUCGACCAUAAACCGUAGAGAUGGCCGCCUCCAAUCGACGCAAGCGCAGAGCUGCUCUAGCUUGGGGACUAUGUGGUGUAGGAGCAAAUUGACGAGAUGCGAGCAGUGCGACGGAGGGCGGUACUCCAUAGGCUCUAUGUUACUGUCUGUUUGAGCUUUCACACCAACCCAACAAGCUCAAGAAGACAGAGAGCAAGGAAGAGAGGGAAAGAUAGGGAAGAAGCAAAUUGCCCAAAGUAAAACUUAUAUGUAAUCUUUUUGGGUUCAAAUUUAAAGUGUUGGGCUGCUCGGCUGUUCCUACUUCCUAGUCUUUUACUCUUACCACAUUGGUAAAAAGAAGUGGCCCUAUAUGCCAUUUACUCUUAAAAGAAUUGGUGUAAGUACAGGAUAAGGCGACCUCGUCUAAACCCCCACGCUCCCAUGGCCGCCGCCGCCGCGUACCCCACCGCCGCCACUCUCCCCCCGCGCCGCGCACCUCCGCCCUCUCUCCGGCCGUCGCCGCCGCUCUCGUGGUCCGCCUCCAUCGCCCACCUCGCGCUCUCGCCGCCGCCCGUGCCCAGCAACCGCGCGUCCCUGGUGGUGCGCGCGGCGUGGACGCGGCGGUCGCGGAAGGAGGCGGAGGAGAGGCCCAACCGCAAGUCGUGGAAGCAGCGCACGGACAUGUACAUGCGGCCGUUCCUGCUCAACGUCUUCUUCUCCAAGCGCUUCGUCCACGCCAAGGUCGUGCACAGGGGCACCAGCAAGGUCAUCUCCGUCGCCAGCACCAACGCCAAGGACCUCAGGACCACGCUGCCCUCCCUCGUCGACGACAACGCCUGCAGGACCAUCGGCCGCCUCAUCGCCGAGAGGUCCAUGGACGCCGACGUCUUCGCCAUGUCCUACGAGCCCAAGAAGAACGAGAGGAUCGAGGGGAAGCUUGGCAUCGUCAUCGACACCAUUAAGGAGCACGGCAUUAUAUUUGUUUAGGCAAGUUCAGCUUACAACGUUGAUUAAAAUAUGUUGCGAGGUUUAUUGCAUGGUAGCUAUGUUCAUCUGUUGGGUAGCUGAAGUCUGUUGUCCCACCAUGUUCAUCAAAAAUUAUGUCUGGAAGAAAGUGGGUGAUUAAACAAUUGGAUAAAUCAAUUUAGCACAGCUACAUAUUAAAAGCAAAGGUCGCCGCGCUGGUAGUCAGCAUGAGCAAAUCCCCUAGCGACCUAGUUUCCAUGCCCAUGUGAAUGACUGUCGAAAUCUGUUCUCUGCUAGCUCCAGUUAACUUUGCAGCCUCAGAGCAUGAGGCUGCCACCAGUGCUGCGGCAGAUGCAAUUGCAACAUGCAUUUUUCUAUGUUCAUCUUUCCCUAUGGCAGUCAUGAUAGUGUUGUUUGCAUUGGUAGACUCAGAUUGGCAAUUACCAACCAUUCGUGCAACUGCUGUAGCUAGUCUUGCAACUGAGAGAGCUGCAUGCAUCUGAGCUGUUUGGAGUCUUAUGUCCUCUCUCUUCCUUCCACAUCCCCUCUGUACCAUGUUUGCUAAUUUACUUUUCAAGAAUUCUGCCACGCCCCCCACAGUCAUCUACACAUGAAAAACUUGGUUUAAUGUUGUAGAGUAUUCCAUUUUCUUACGCAGGUUUUGUGCCUAGUCUUGAUUUUCUGAUAUGUUGUGUGAGGAACCUUUUCACUGGAGAGCAGAGUCUUGAAAUUAAAAUCAUGCAGUAGGGAAAGAAUUUCCAGUUAGAUCAAUUCUGUAUUCAUAUAAUCUACAUGUAAGCACUGUAUUUGUUUUACCCUGAUUCCAUCCAUGGUUUGUUUGA